rnacentral:ribozyme from 1 species
AAAGCAUUAAUGCAAAAAAAAAAAAAAAAAAACUAUGCAAUGCAUUUGAUGGCCCUAACCGAUGCUCUUGCAUGUCAGUGGCUACGCGCUCUUGUGCUUCUUUUUUCCAUCCUUCUUGACCUUUUUACCUUUCUCCUUCUU